AUCGAACGCUGGCGGCGUGGCUAAAGCAUGCAAGUCGAACGGUCUAGGGGCUAGGGACUAGCGGCUGGGGGUUAUGCGAUUCUGAUCCCGCGGGGGACAGGAUUUCUAGUUUCCAGUUUCUAGUCUCUAGUCUCUAGACAGUGGCGGACGGGUGAGUAAUAGAAGGAUAACGUACCUGGGACACGGGGAUAGCGGCAGGGGUAACCCUUUGCGAAAGCGCCGGUAAUACCCGAUGACCCCGCGGAANCGCAUGGUUCUGCGGGCAAAGCUCCGACGGUCCCGGUUCGGUCCUUCUCCUAUCAGCUAGUUGGUGAGGUAAUGGCUCACCAAGGCUUCGACGGGUAGGGGCGUGAGAGCGU
rnacentral:rRNA from 1 species